rnacentral:rRNA from 1 species
CCCUUAGAUGUCCUGGGCCGCACGCGCGCUACACUGACAUGUUCAACAAGCCUCCUAGUUCGACAGGAUUUGGGAAAUCUUUGAACGCAUGUCGUGAUAGGGAUAGAUCAUUGCAAUUAUUGAUCUUGAACGAGGAAUUCCUAGUAAACGCGAGUCAUCAGCUCGCAUUGAUUACGUCCCUGCCCUUUGUACACACCGCCCGUCGCACCUACCGAUUGAAUGUUUCGGUGAAGGUUCCGGAUAGGACUUUUUUGAUUUAUUUCAAUUUUGUCUUAAAAGCUAUCUAAACCUCAACAUUUAGAGGAAGGUGAAGUCGUAACA